UACGUAGGGUCCGAGCGUUGUCCGGAAUUACUGGGCGUAAAGCGCGCGCAGGCGGCCCGCGAGGUGUCACGUGAAAGCCCCGGGCUCAACCCGGGAGGGUCGUGGCAAACCGGCGGGCUUGAGGCCGGUAGAGGUGGGUGGAACUCCUGGUGGAGUGGUGAAAUGCGUAGAGAUCAGGAAGAACACCCGUGGCGAAGGCGGCCCACUGGGCCGGCACUGACGCUGAUGCGCGAAGGCGUGGGGAGCGAACGGG
rnacentral:rRNA from 1 species